UAUACGAGGCAAGGUGGGAAUGAUAUCCGUGACAGACAAUAUGAAGGAAGUGAGGUUGAGAUGGUUCAGCCAUGUGAAGAGGAGGUGUGCGGAUGAGGUUGAUUGUAGCAGGAGUUAGGAGAGGUAGAGGUCGCCGAAAAAGAAUUAGGGGGAGGUGAUUAGACAAGACAUGGCAUAACUUCAGUUUUCUAAGGACAUAUGGAGGUCGAGAAUUAGGAUAGAUGAUUAGUAAGCUGAGUGUGGUCGCUCAUUAGUUGGGAGAGGCAGGGGGCUAACCUCAUAUCCUCUUGUCUCGUUUAUUAGUAGUAUUUAGUAAUCGCAUAAUUUCUUUUUUUCAAUGUUGUUUGCUAUCUGGUGAUUUGCUUUGCUAUGUAGCUUGAUAUUUUGCUGUCAUUUUUUUUUCUUCCUGCAAUCUUUUUCCGAAUAACUUCACUUUUUGAGCCGAGAGUCUGUCAGAAACAACCUUUUUAUCCCACAACGGUAGGGGCUUAGUCUGCAUACAUCUGACCCCCUCCAGACCCCACUUGUGGAAUUAAACUGGGUAUGUUCUUAUUGUUGUUUGGUAUCUAUAAAGGGGCAAAUGCCUCUUAGGUAGAGCAUCUUGGUAUGGCACGAAAGAAUCUUUGUUUGGUAUAUACAAAGGGAUUACACUGUGUACAAAUGCAUCUUGGUAUAUAAAAAAGGACAAAUGCAUUUUCAAUUUUUUUUUACUAAAUACACAUAUAUACAAUAAAAUUGAAAUGCUUAGACAACUUUACCUCUUAAUGCUACUAUUGGAUAAAAUAGAUGAUGUGGCAUGAAAGAAUAUUUGUUGUGACAAUUUUACCUCUUAAUGCUGCUUUUGGAUAAAAUAGAUGAUAUGGCAUGAAAGAAUAUUUGUUGUGGCUGUCAAUCAGAUCAAAAAAGUAAAGAUGUUUGGCAAAUGGCAUUGCAGAAAUAGAUACAUAAACUCCUAAGGAUCUGAAAAGGCCUCAAAUCCACAAAAAAAACUGAGGAUCUUAUGAGUUGUGUAAAAAGUGCUGAGUUUCAGGCUUUCAGCGAAUGGAAGAGAAGAAAUAGGUACUAAAGUGUCAUGAUCAAGAGGGACCUCAAACUUGAAAGGCUUAGCCAGGCUCUAAUGACUUCUGUGGAACAACUUCAAUGUUCUUGCUGAGAGAGAAUCUACUCUUUUCACCUUUAUGGGUGAUGUUGGAUUAUGUGGUAAUUUGUUAAAAGUGAGCAUGGCGCAUCCAUAAACCUCGAAGCUAGAUGCAUCACAAGCUUGGUGCUCUGCGUUGCUUAGGCAGUGUAAGUACCAUUUUCGGCAAAAAUAUUGCAUCAGUGCUUUCCUAUCCUUGGAGAAGUGGACUUUUUAUUCUUUGUCUUCAGUGAUGGGACAUUCAUUGUACUGAAGGAGAAUCUGGGAAGAGGCC